rnacentral:hammerhead_ribozyme from 1 species
AGUCGAAACCGGGCUUCGGCCCGGUUACCCACCUCGGGCAUGGUGGGUCUGAUGAUGACUGCCCCAG